rnacentral:rRNA from 1 species
CAUGAUAUAUUGGUAGAGGAGCAUCGUGCACGGGCAGAAGCCAUACCGCGAGGAGUGGUGGACUGUGCAGGAGAGAGAAUGCCGGCAUGAGUAGCGAGAGCGAAGUGAGAAUCUUCGCCGUCGAAAGCCUAAGGUUUCCUGAGGAAGGUUCGUCCCCUCAGGGUUAGUCAGGACCUAAGCCGAGGACGAAAGUCGUAGGCGAUGGACAACAGGUUGAUAUUCCUGUACCACCUUUGAGCGAUUGACCGAUGCAGUGACACAGUAGGAUAGGCAGAGCGGGCUGAUGGUAGAGCCCGUCCAAGCGUUGAGGCAGGUGCGUAGUGAAGUACGCGCACCAUAAUGCUGGGGCGUGAUGGGGACAGAAAACAAGUAUGGAAGCUGCUGAAUUCACACUGGCGAGAAAAGCUGCUAGGGAGCAAAAGGGUGCCUGUACCGCAAACCGACACAGGUAGGCGAGGAGAGAAUCCUAAGACGAGCGGGAGAACCCUUGUUAAGGAACUCGGCAAAAUGACCCCGUAACUUCGGGAAAAGGGGAGCCUCGAGAGAGGCCGCAGAGAAUAGGCCCAAGCGACUGUUUACCAAAAACACAGGUCUGUGCGAAGUUGAGAGACGAAGUAUACAGGCUGACGCCUGCCCAGUGCCGGAAGGUCAAGGGGAAGUGUUAGGAGCAAUCCGAAGCACGGAACUUAAGCCCCGGUGAACGGCGGCCGUAACGAUAACGGUCCUAAGGUAGCGAAAUUCCUUGUCGGGUAAGUUCCGACCCGCACGAAUGGCGUAACGAUUUGGGCACUGUCUCAACAAGGGACCCGGUGAAAUUGUAGUAUGCGUGAAGAUGCGCAUUGCCCGCGAUAGGACGGAAAGACCCCGUAGAGCUUUACUGUAGCCUGACAUUGGAUUUUGGUAACAGAUGUACAGAAUAGGUGGGAGACUGGGAACCACGGACGCCAGUUCGUGGGGAGUCACCUUUGGGAUACCACUCUUUUGUUACUGGAGUUCUAACGUUGCGCGGUGAUCCCGGUAGCGGACAUUGUCAGGUGGGCAGUUUGACUGGGGCGGUCGCCUCCGAAAGAGUAACGGAGGCGCCCAAAGGUUCCCUCAGAAUGGUUGGAAAUCAUUCGCAGAGUGUAAAGGCAGAAGGGGGCCUGACAGCGAGAGAGACAUUUCGAGCUGGGACGAAAGUCGGGCUUAGUGAUCCGGCGGCAUUGAGUGGGUGAGCCGUCGCUCAACGGAUAAAAGCUACCUCGGGGAUAACAGGCUUAUCUCCCCCAAGAGUCCACAUCGACGGGGAGGUUUGGCACCUCGAUGUCGGCUCGUCGCAUCCUGGGGCUGGAGCAGGUCCCAAGGGUUUGGCUGUUCGCCAAUUAAAGCGGCACGCGAGCUGGGUUCAGAACGUCGUGAGACAGUUCGGUCCCUAUCCAUCGUGGGCGCAGGAGAUUUGAAAGGAGCUGUCCUUAGUACGAGAGGACCAGGAUGGACGCACCUAUGGUGUACCGGUUGUUCUGCCAAGAGCAUGGCCGGGUAGCUAAGUGCGGACGGGAUAAACGCUGAAAGCAUCUAAGCGUGAAGCCCCCCUUAAGAUAAGAUCUCCCAUCAAAAAA